rnacentral:antisense_RNA from 1 species
CUUGAUCGACCCGAGCAGCAACGGCGUCUCGCGGUCCUGCCCGUAGGCGGACAGCAGCGCCUGCGCCUC